rnacentral:tRNA from 3 species
GCUCGUGUGGUGUAGCCCGGCCCAUCAUUUCGGAUUUUCAUUCCGACGACCCGGGUUCGAAUCCCGGCCCGAGCA